rnacentral:rRNA from 1 species
GACGAACGCUGGCGGCGUGCUUAACACAUGCAAGUCGAACGGAAAGGCCCUGCUUUUGUGGGGUGCUCGAGUGGCGAACGGGUGAGUAACACGUGAGUAACCUGCCCUUGACUUUGGGAUGACUUCAGGAAACUGGGGCUAAUACCGGAUAGGAGCUACUGCUGCAUGGUGGGGGUUGGAAAGUUUCGGCGGUUGGGGAUGGACUCGCGGCUUAUCAGCUUGUUGGUGGGGUAGUGGCUUACCAAGGCUUUGACGGGUAGCCGGCCUGAGAGGGGGACAGGCCACAUCGGGCCUGAGAUACGGCCCAGACUCCUACGGGAGGCAGCAGAGGGGAAUAGUGUAUAAUGGGAGGAAGCAAGAUGCAGCAACGCCGCGCGCGGGAUGACGGGCUUCGGGUUGGAAUGCACUGCCGCUUUUGACGAAGCGUGAGUGACAGUAACGGGUAAAGAAGCACCGGCUAACUACGUG